AAAAAAAAUUCAAUCUGAUCUGAUGUUGAUAAAAAAGAAAAGGUGAUCAAAACCCAUUUCACGUCUCAGGUUGCUCGGCAAAGGGGAUUUGCCUCCAGUCUCUUGGGGAGGGGGUCUCCUAAUCAUUUCAAAAAGCAACCAGAGUUGCAGUGGGAAUUUAAUCUUGCUAUGGUGCAUCAAUGCCAUCCAACGGAAUUACCGGCUAUAGAUGACAAUGCAAUUGGUAAGCUUGUAUGUGAGUCGACCACUAUUCUUCAUAUGUUUGUGAUGAAGAGGAAACAGCGAAGUUUAGAAAACAGCGAAGGAUAGGUUUGAGUUCGGCCUGGUUGACCGCGGCAACAUGUGCGGUCGAUCGCGAACGUGCACGAAGCAGGGUUUGGAUCGACGUUCUGUUCGGUCGACCGUGACGACUCGUGCGGUCGACCGCGAUAGGUUCUGCAUGCAUGCCUUGUUUUGGUGUUCUGGCCGGUCGACCGCGAGC